CGAGGAGAGAGGCGCCGGCCAUCGAGGACCUCCUAGCCCUCUUCUCCUUGUCGCCAUGGCAGGUGGAGCUCGAGCCAUCGGUCAGCCUCCCCCUCCCCAUGCGUAGAACAAUGUGUGCAGAUCUGUAAAAGAAGAGAAGAGGAAGAAUCCCAAGGAAGAGUUUGGUGAAGAAGAAUAAGGUGACUAUGUGAGUUGCAUUGACAGAAUCCAUGUAUUAAGCUGGGGCAUUUUUGGCAGCUGCAGCAACCUGACAAUUCAUUUGUUCUCAUACAAGAUGCUUGUGAAGUACAUGGGGAAGGCGCGCAUGGUUGAUGAUUAUGUUUUGGAUUGGAGGCCGAAGCAAACUCCGUCAGGUUUCAGAUAAUUACUUCAGGUUAGGCGGGAGAAAUAAAAAGGGUAACCAUAGAUAUAUGGUGUAGCAUCAUGAGGUUCAGGUUCCUGCUGUUGAUCAAACGUUGCUUCGGUCGAGUGCGAACCCGGAUCAGUUGCUGCUCCAAACCAGACAAUUUGGAGGAUGAACGCGAGUCUCCCAGCGAUGCCAUGGAAGAAGAAAGUAUUCGCUCCAGACGUAGAUGUCUAGCUUGCCUGUGUGCUGUAACAUUAAUCAGUGCAUCGGGCCCAAAGUUUUCUAUCAUUGGAACCUUGAUGAUUUAUCUCAUUUGAACAUAAUCUAACCCCUCUGAUUUUUUCAGUACAUAAUUGUACACCUUCUAUGCCCCGCUUAAUUGUGUGUUCAUUUUGUUAAUCAAGAAGCAUCUGAUUUUAUGGCUGGGUAUGUUGAAAAUAUAUAAAACCUUUCUUCUUUUGGAUAAUUUGUUUCCCUUUGACCAAUCUUUGUUACUUGCCUACACAUCUGUGCAUAGCGUGGUGCUCCAGCGCGACCGCUUCGUGUGCUGCUCGAGUCGCAUGGCCACCAUGCCCGCGCCGAGGCGAAGGCCGCUGCCACUCUCAACGCCCUCUGCUGCGCGCUCUCGCCGGCGGCGUUUGCAAAGCCUUGUCGUGGCGCUGCAAGUGUUGCCCCCCUCCUCCCCAAGGGCAAGGUGAAGGAAGGUGCAUGUGUGGUUCUUCAGCAGCUCGCAGCGAGGAUUGCUGUGUCCAACCUGCAGAAGUAUGCCAAGAAGUUCUCGGAGAUGAUUAAGGACAUGUCCCCGCACUACAACGAGAGAUCUGAGCUGUUUGGAAGUUAGUUUAGGUUUUUGUUGUGGAUUCACAGCUUCUCACAUGUAUGAUCCUCUUAGACCUUUAGAUUUCCAAAGAAACUAAAUGAAGAUAUGGUGGUAUGGUCUCAAUAGUACAACUUAAAGCCUUUCAUGUUUUAUAUUUUCUUUGAAAUUUGCUCUUGAAGAAUUAUGUAUCUAUGUUAGAUCCGGUGAGAAAAGGCGGCUUUCAAGUAGAGGUUGCUGCAGUGUUGGCCACAUUUGGUUUUCGACUUAAGUGUCUAAAUAUUCUCACAAUACUUGGCUCCCUUUCGGCCUUUGCGCCAUUGGCGCAACGAGUCAUCUAGUGUGAUUGAAUGGUUAAAGGAACUGUGAUAUUCUCA